rnacentral:rRNA from 1 species
UAGGGAAUCUUCCGCAAUGGACGCAAGUCUGACGGAGCAACGCCGCGUGAGUGAAGAAGGAUUUCGGUUCGUAAAACUCUGUUGUUAGAGAAGAACAGCGCAUAGAGUAACUGUUAUGCGUGUGACGGUAUCUAACCAGAAAGCCACGGCUAACUACGUGCCAGCAGCCGCGGUAAUACGUAGGUGGCAAGCGUUGUCCGGAAUUAUUGGGCGUAAAGAGCUUGUAGGCGGUUCGUCGCGUCUGGUGUGAAAGCCCAUCGCUUAACGGUGGGUUUGCGCCGGGUACGGGCGGGCUAGAGUGCAGUAGGGGAGACUGGAAUUCCCGGUGUAACGGUGGAAUGUGUAGAUAUCGGGAAGAACACCAGUGGCGAAGGCGACUCUCUGGUCUGUAACUGACGCUGAGGCUCGAAAGCGUGGGUAGCAAACAGG